rnacentral:misc_RNA from 1 species
GCAUAUCCCAAAAGAUGUCCAAUACCUGCACUUUGAACGCUGCGACUUCCAGAGAAGCAUCUUAUGCUUGAAGAAUGUAACUGAGCUCAAGUGCUUAGUAAUUUCUUAUAGUUACGGGAUAGAAUGUUUGCUUUCGUUGUCCUCCUGCUCCACACCGUUGUCACCAUCUCAAUAUACCUUUUCCCUCCUUAAAACAUUUGCAAUACAUUUUUGCACCGGUAUAAAGAAGCUGUUCCCCCCUGGAGUGCUGGCAAACUUUCAAAACCUAGAAGUUAUUUCUGUUGAACAUUGUGUAAAUGUGGAGGUUUUGAUAGCUACGGAUGAAGAACAAGAAACCCAUAAUAGCAGUGGCGGCAAUGCUCUAUUCAUUCUCCCAAAAUUACAGCAUUUU